ensembl:lncRNA
GGGCGCGCUAGUCCGCGGAGCCGGGCGCGGGGCGCGAGAGCGGAGCUGCGCGGGCGGCUGCGGAGGGAAGGUCUCCUAGGCAAUUGGGGUCUUUGAGGCGAAUACGAGGCUGGGGCCGGUUACCGACCGGCCGCUUCUUGCCGAGGCAGUCCAGGCUUUACCCCUGGCGGUGGCCGCUGCGAGACAGCAUCUGUCAACGCUCCUCUUUUCCCCUCCUCCUCUGGCCGGGCCGGGCUCCGCCGGCUGCGGCCGAGAGGACGCGGGACCCGGCGCGGUGAGCCCAUCAGCUGUCAGGCGAGCGGCGAAGCGGCCGGAGGGCGGCGAGAGACACACAAAGAACGCGGUGGGCGGCGGCGGCGAAAGGGGGCGGCAAAUUCGGGACGGCAACUCCUCCUCGCGCCCGCUGGUGCCACCGCCGCCCGGGCUUGGUCCGAGGCCGCGCAGACAAUGCGGCCGGGCCCCAGAGUGCGGGGCGCCUGCGCUCCCCAGACCCCAACUUGACCGUCACCCUGCUCGCCCAGCCCCCUCCCGGGAUAGGGGCGCCCCCCUCGUUCCGACAGCCGGCGAAGGAAGUCUGCCGCGGCCGCGUAGCCCGGCAACUUGCAAGCCGGGAAAAGUUUGCGGCGCCUCCGCGGGGCGGCGCGACGCGGCCCGCCCCACGCGUCCGCGGUCACCGAGGGUGACUUUCUCGACUCGUCGUCAGCCGGGGCCGCAGCGCGGCCGGCGAGGACUGCGGGGAGGGCCGGAGUCGGUCCGAGGGCUCCCGCACCUGGGGCUGCGGGAACAUUAAAAAGCUCCCCAGAUGCUCCCUGCUCUGAUCAUUUCCCCUACAGCACCAGACAUGUUGGCAUCAUCUCUUAGUUGGGCCCUGUGACCAGGGAACCCCUCAUGAAACCACCGCUGCAGCCUGGAGAGUUGCUGUAGAAGAAGGAAAAAAAGAGGAUGACAACGCAACGCAGGAGGAGAUAAGUACCUCUGGACAAAAUGGAAGUAGUAGUUGUUGAACAGAGGGAAAAGGGAUGGGAGAAGGAUGUGGACUGCAAUGUUGCAGUGCCAGCUAAUAACUUUCAUCAUGUACCUCCUUGGCUCAGGUACUGUCUCUUCUACUCUUUUCCUUGUACUACCUUAUUUAGCCCUUAAUUAUAUACUUUCUUGACUCACUUUCAGAAACACUGAUUAUGUGGUCUGCCUCAAAGACAGAAUCCUAGUUUUGGAUUUUAGCCUUACUGAUCUAUAGCCUUGCAGGGGCUUACGGAUGGCAGCUGUCUCUCCCCCUUGGGAUCUAGCUUUUGGAAAUAUUGAAGGGAAGAGAUUUCUAUGAUCUUAUAGGAAAAGAUCCACAGUUCAUCUCCAAAUUUGCUUUUAUAGAGAAGUGUGUGUCACCAAAACAUGGAGAUAUGGUCAGAGAGGCCCCUACCCCCAGACUUUUAAUAUAAUUUUGCUUUCUAGGGCAUUUGUUCUUGUCAAAUACUUUCUCUUCUAUCAGCUCACUUGUUCCUCACAAAAGCCCAAUAAGGUAUUAAUAGUAUUAAACAGACCCCUGUGAAGCACCUCAAGUCUUUCUCUCUUCCCACUUCCAUUCUUGCACACCUUUUGCUAGACUAGUCUCUGCGUUCAUCACAUCAGGUUUCUAAAAUUAAAGUCCCCUAAUAACUUUCUGUUUGUUCCCUCAUCAAAUUGAACCUUUUAUGCCUGGCUUAUAAGGUGGCCUUAAAACCCCAUUUUCCUCUAAACAUUGUCUCUGUAGUUCAGGAACGUGGCAGGCUCAACAUGUGUGCAUGAGCCAUAUUGCUUCCCUCAUUAGUGAUACCUCCUCUCAAACCACCCAGAUUCUACUCAUUCUUCAAUUUCCAGCUUCUCCUUGGAGCCUUCCCAGAUCAUUAGCUUCUUAAAAAUCCCAGCUUUCUCUGAAUUCUGACGGUAGCCACAGUUAUUUGGGCAAUUAUGUCCUGGUCUUAAAGUCCUAAUGGGAAAAAAAAAAAAAA